AGCUUCACAUAGUUUGCCGAAAAAAUCUAUGAGUGUUGGAGAAUGCUGUAAUUGUUUAACUUGAAUCAGCAAAGCUAAACUUAACCAUGAAAAUAUGAGAAAUUUAAGAGAUAAACAUUCCUAAACUCAUUUUUGAUGAUCAAUUUUUUACGUUAUUCUGUUUGCUUCACUUGGAUUUUGAUGCGAAAGAUUUUUUCUGUAUGGCAUGCUCUAAAAUUCGUGAAAAGCGAAAAAAAAUAAAACGUAAUAAAAUGGAUUGGAGCUUGUGAAUUCAAGUGUAUUGUAUAUUUGAAACAGGAUUGGAUAACGAUUUCUCGGCAAAACUCAUAUCUGACAAUCCAAAGAAUUCAAUGCCAAUGUGAUAAACAAUUUGUUAAAAGUUAAGGACAUUAGUGUUCAGGUAAAUAUGAUGAAAAAUAGGAAUAAAGAUGUGGAUGUACAAAUAUUGAUCCUCAAUGCAUAAGUGCAUACAAGUGUCACUCAUAGAAAAAAUUGAACAAACGUCAAAGCUUUAUUAUGUGAGGAUUGAUUCACAACAACUCAUUUUUAAACUUUUUAUAUUACGGGCGCGUGAAAAGCCUGGCUCAC